CUCUCGGAGCUCGGCCCAGUGCUUGGCUGUGGAUCUCUGCAUCUGCUUCUAUCAGUUACUGGAUGAAGGCUCUCUGUUGACAAUUAGGGUACUCACCAAUCUGAUUACAGGAGAAGAGUUCUAGAAAUGGAAAGAUCCAAUACCAAAGCCCACCCUCCAUGUCUGAUGAGGGUCUUCUUGCUGAGUCCUCUGGAGAUUCAUAAGUAAGAGAGGAAAAGAGAAUGCAGUUGGCAUCUCUGGAGUAGAGUGUGGCUGCUGCUCCUCAGGCUGAAGUCAAUGGCUCCAGGGCGACUUUUUGGAGAUUAUUGGGGCCUGCAGGGCUAUCUGAAACCCCCAUGGGACCCUGGACAAACAGGAAAAGAAAGACAGUUUCUUCCUCUUGUCAUUGGUUUAUAAAGAAAAACAGAAGAGCUGGAGAAUCGGUAUCCUGCCUGAAGUGUGUGUCCCACCCCUGUGGUCAGAUCCUGCGGGACUUUCUCACAGGAGGCAGCUCGGGAUGUGGGGGGCAGGGAGGUUGGUCAUGGAGCUGUGGUGUGCAGAUGCCCAAAGGAGCAAGGAUUGCUCCUGCAGAGGGGAGUCUCGCCCACCCAUGGCACACCUUUUCCCAAGUUGUCUGCGUUGCCACAGGGUCUCAGAGGCAGAGGCUGAG